UAUUGGACAAUGGGGGCAACCCUGAUCCAGCCAUGCGGCGUGUGUGUAGAAGGUCUUCGGAUUGUAAAGCACUUUAAGUGGUGAGGAAGGGCUUUAGGCUAAUACCCUGAAGUUUUGACGUUACCACCAGAAUACGCACCGGCUAACUCUGGGCCAGAAGCCGCGGUAAUACAGAGGGUGCAAGCGUUAACCGGAAUUACAGGGCGUAAAGCGCGCGUAGGUGGUUCAGUAAGAUGGGUGUGAAAUCCCCGGGCUUAACCUGGGAACUGCUUUCAUAACUGCUGAGCUAGAGUACGGUAGAGGGUAGUGGAAUUUCCUGUGUAGCGGUGAAAUGCGUAGAUAUAGGAAGGAACACCAGUGGCGAAGGCGACUACCUGGACUGAUACUGACACUGAGGUGCGAAAGCGUGGGGAGCAAAC
rnacentral:rRNA from 1 species